GCGUCUUCGGCGUCCGCAUUGUAAUCUCAAGAAGUGUUUUCCGCUUCGGACCAUGCCUAAGUCCCUUGGAAAAGGGCAUCAUAGAGGGUGAUAAUCCCGUACAUGGCAUGGAGCGCCCGUAGCUUUGUGAUACGCUUUCUAAGAGUCGAGUUGUUUGGGAAUGCAGCUCAAAAUGGGUGGUAAAUGCCAUCUAAGGCUAAAUAUUGGGGAGAGACCGAUAGCGAACAAGUACAGUGAUGGAAAGAUGAAAAGAACUUUGAAAAGAGAGUUAAACAGUACGUGAAAUUGCCAAAAGGGAAGGGUAGGAGGUCAGAGAUGCGGCUUGGGAUUCAGCCUUGCUUUUGCAUGGUGUUUUUCCCCUGUUGCAGGCCAACGUCGGUUUUGGGCACUGGAGAAGGGUGAGAGGAACGUGGCAUCCCUCGGGAUGUGUUAUAGCCUCUCACUGGAUACAGCGACCGAGACCGAGGACAGCAGCGUACUCGCAAGAGCGGGCCUUCGGGCACCUUUACGCUUAGGGCGUUGGCAUAAUGGCCCUCUACCACCCGUCUUGAAACACGGACC
rnacentral:rRNA from 1 species